rnacentral:rRNA from 1 species
UACAGAGGUGGCAAGCGUUGUUCGGAAUUACUGGGCGUAAAGGGCGCGUAGGCGGUUCGUUAAGUCCUGUGUGAAAGCCCCCGGCUCAACUGGGGAGGGUCACGCGAUACUGAUCGACUCGAAGGCAGGAGAGGGAAGUGGAAUUCCCGGUGUAGUGGUGAAAUGCGUAGAUAUCGGGAGGAACACCAGUGGCGAAGGCGACUUCCUGGCCUGUUCUUGACGCUGAGGCGCGAAAGCUAGGGGAGCAAACGGG